UACGUAGGGUGCAAGCGUUGUCCGGAAUUAUUGGGCGUAAAGAGCUCGUAGGCGGUUUGUCGCGUCUGCUGUGAAAACUCGGGGCUUAACCCCGGGCCUGCAGUAGGUACGGGCAGACUAGAGUGCGGUAGGGGAGACUGGAAUUCCUGGUGUAGCGGUGAAAUGCGCAGAUAUCAGGAGGAACACCGAUGGCGAAGGCAGGUCUCUGGGCAUUAACUGACGCUGAGGAGCGAAAGCAUGGGGAGCGAACAGG
rnacentral:rRNA from 1 species